rnacentral:rRNA from 1 species
CGUACGAUACGAGUUUGAUCUGGCUCAGAGCGAACGUUUACGGCGGGCCUAACACAUGCAAGUCGAACGAUAACCCAGCUUGCUGGGGGAAAGUGGCGCACGGGUGCGUAACACGUGGGUAAUCAACCCUUUGGAUCGGGACAACCCGGGGAAACUCGGGCUAAUACCGGAUAAGUCGUGGGAGUCUUCGGGCACCCACGGGAAAGGCCCGCAAGGGCUACCAUUGGACGAGCUCGCGGCCCAUCAGCUUGUUGGUGAGGUAAUGACUCACCAAGGCUAAGACGGGUAGCUGGUCUGAGAGGAUGAUCAGCCACACUGGAACUGAGACACGGUCCAGACUCCUACGGGAGGCAGCAGUGGGGAAUAUUGCGCAAUGGGCGAAAGCCUGACGCAGCCACGCCGCGUGUGCGAUGAAGGUCUUCGGAUCGUAAAGCACUGUGGGGGGAGAAGAACAAAGCCGGUGAAGAGCCGGCCCUGACGGUAUCCCCUUAGCAAGCACCGGCUAACUCCGUGC